GAAAUGUGGAGAUCACGCAAGAGCUGCUAACUCUUUCCCUAGCGGUUAAAAUCCGUUAACAUUUCU
rnacentral:tRNA from 1 species